CUAUUGAAAGAAAUGUUCUCACCUUGGGC
rnacentral:piRNA from 1 species